UACGGAGGGAGCUAGCGUUGUUCGGAAUUACUGGGCGUAAAGCGUGCGUAGACGGUUGCGUAAGUCAGAUGUGAAAGCCCCGGGCUCAACCUGGGAAUUGCAUUUGAGACUGCGUAGCUAGGGUGCGGAAGAGGGAAGCGGAAUUUCCGGUGUAGCGGUGAAAUGCGUAGAUAUCGGAAGGAACACCAGUGGCGAAAGCGGCUUCCUGGUCCAGCACCGACGUUCAGGCACGAAAGCGUGGGGAGCAAACAGG
rnacentral:rRNA from 1 species